AAUAGAUGCAUGUGAGAGUGCACUGAGAAGCAGCUCAGGUAUAUCCUGCCCUUGUGUCAGCUGCAUGCUGCUGGGGCCGCUGCACGGGAGGGCUGUCAGCUGGGAGAUGCUGCAGAGCACAUGUCUGCUUUGAUGAUGAAAGGUAGGAGUGGAGAAAUCUGUGCCAUCACAGGAGAGGAAAAUCUUUCAAGCUGGCUGUGUAGCUAGCUGCCCGCCCCCAAGAAAAGCACCACGUACCCAUCCCUAUAUAUGCUUCCUGGCCUCCUCCAGACAAACAUCUGUCCCUCUGCCCAUCCAACCACUCUGGGAAUGGAGCUGGUGAACAGGGCACAAACCGACACCGAGCAGAGAUGGGAUCUCAGCCUGAUCCUGGGACUGUCACUGUCCCGUAGCCCUUCUUAGUGGGAAACUGCCCCACCAUGCUUGGCACUUACUCUGUUGAAAGACAGCAAAAGAGACAGACAUCUGCUUUAGGAUGGUCAUGUCAUCUUCAGCAAAGGGUAAGAUAGCCCUUACUGGGCAUGUGAGCACCGCUGAGCACCAUUUCCCUGCUCAGAUCUGCAUCAAAGCAGCUCAGGGGUGCUGUUUUAAAAGAGUCUGGGGUAUCACACCUGAUCGCAGCACUGGGCGCUGAGGGAAGCCUGGGUUUGCUCCAUCCCAGGGUGAUGCUCGCCAUCUCCAUGGAAAAGCCGCAGCUGGCCCUUCUGCUCCAUAAGCUGCUGUCCUCUGGGGAAAGGCGCUGGGAAGGUUUCUGCAGCUGAGGAAGCACCAGCCCUGGGUUGGUGGUUGAAGAAUGAGUUUGAUGCACAUUGUGCGAUUUGGGGAAUCGCAGAGGGGAGGGUGGUAGAGGAAAUGGCAGCUGGGAAUAUUGGGGGUAAAAUAACAUCAAUAACUAAGAGAGAGCGAGCAGGAAAUCAGCCAGGGCUGCCCGUCAGCUUGCUGAUUUAAGAUUCACUUUGAAAACCUAUUCCCCUUCAGGGGAAACACGUGCCUGCCCCAUCAGCAGCCGGCCCCGGCACGAUGCUUGGCGAGAGGCAGCGUCAUGCUCUCUGGGGGAGGCAUUUGGGCAAGGAAGUAAAUGAUUUCAAGAGCUGCCGGUGUGUUUACAGCAAAGUGGAGUUUUGCAGUGGCAAAUUGCUUGGGGAGAAGAGUUGGACUGGCAAUUCCUGCUCCCACAGCCCCAUCGCAUCUUGACAAGUGGAGUGUGGGGCUGCAGGUCGCACGGGGCUUUGUGCUGGGAGCCAGGAGUGUGGCCAGGGCUUCGGCUCAGGGUGGUCACUGGGAAGGUGCUGCAGCGAGUUCUGGGGAGAGGACCAGCUUCGGUGUGGGAAUCCAGGCACAUCCCCCUGGGAAGAGCUUUAAAGGCUCUCCCUCCUCAAAUACCUUUCCUCUUUAUAGCCUCUGCUUUGCAUUUUCAUUUUUCAAACACCUCAUAAUCACACUAAUUAAUACAUUCUGGGAUAGUUCUUCCUGGCUUCCAUCAAAUUUAAAUCAGCAUUUAUUAGCAUAUUGCCGUGUCUGUGUUGUUUGUUAAAGUCCAGCAUAACCUCACACUGCGUUAUGAACCCAGCAACUAUUUCCGAAAUGAGCUGCAGUGCUGGAAAGCAGUGAGCUGUGAUCAGGAUUUCUGCCUUUAUUUUCCUCCCACAUCGUUAAAGCCCUUUUGGGUACCACAGUAGCAUCUUGCUAGCACCAUGCCCACAUUCAGCUGCAGCCAGCCGAUUCAUAGUCUGUAUUUACCCCCCAGGCAUUUCGUCAGAGCUGAAUUCGGUGAGGUCAGGGUAGUCUCAUGCAUCUGGUUGAUGCCACCAGCUCUCCCCAGGGCUGCUUCAUGCUGGUUCCCCGGAGCGUGCGGGUCAUGGCAUUAUCCCACCCUGGUGCCAGCCAAGGCCAGGCUCCUCUUCCCCAGCUGCUUCCUUCUCCCUGGAAGGUGACACCAUGAGGUAAAUAGAGACUGGCUAAUGCUGUUUGAAAUCACCCCUUGCUGCCAAAAGAGGCAAUUCUGCCCUUUCCCCUGCUCUCUUCUUGCCUUCCUUUCGUUCAUGCCAGCAGGAGUAAUGGGGUGAGCUGGGGACGGGACAGGACAGGCAAUUGGGCAGCUUUUACUCCCAAACCCAUCUAUCAGAGCACAAAGCAGCUCAGACACCCUCCUGCCCCGUCCUUAUGAAGGCGUGGGGAGAAGGAGGGUGUCGAGGGGGUCAGAUUGCAGCAGGCUUUGCCUUGGGGAAGGGCUUUGGUGUGCGAGUCCAUCAGAUGAGGGGUGUGAGGCUGCAUCCCACUCCCUCCUGCCUGCCGUGUCUCACAGCAGGCAAGCGGAUGUUUAAUCCCUUUGACAGCCAGAUUUCUGUGGCUGGGGAGGUGAGAAGGUCUGGAGGCUUUACGACACAAAUCACUCAAAAUUUUGGCCUUUAGGUUUGGGGUCAGAAGUCCCUCUGCCCCAUCCUUUCCAUCCUACCCACUGACAGGCGCAGAGAAGGUGCACCAAGGGUAAUUGUAGAGGCUCUACGGUCUUUUUUGGCACAUUUACUCAUGUUCCCCUGGGAAAUUCCCACUGCAGAGCAAAGCCAGCCCCCCCUCCCCUCCCCAUGCUCUCUCUUCCCUGCUCCCAGCGAUAGCAAUAGCCUCAGCCGCCGUGAUCGAUUCUCGGUGUCAGCGCCGGCCCCACGCGCCGGGGCAGGUCAGGCAUCCGUGCCCCCAGCGCUGGCCAGGGUGCGGAGUAAAAGUCAGCCAGAUAACCGUCACAGCCGUUAAUCAUAAUUAGAGGUGCCAGGGCGGGUCAGAACAAAUAUACCCGAUGUCAUCUCAACUGUCGACUCGAGAUCCUGUGGGGCUGAGCCCCUCUGCGCUCCAGGUCAGGCUGUUCCACGCAGGCUGGGGGUGUGUGAUGUAGCCCCCUGGGAAGGGGCAGAGAGAAGGCAGUGAGGCUGGAAAUUAAUGAAAUUAAUGGGAAGAAGGCGUGCAGAAGUCUUUAUUUAUUUUUUAAAGGUAGCAUGUAUUUGAGCUGUGCCCUGGCUGGAACAGUCGCUGUCUCCCUCUCUCUUUCUGUCCCAACAGCAGCAGCUCCAGGACCACCACCACCACCUUUACCAACGUGAUGCAGAAGCCUCCAAAAGGGCCAGAAGACAGCACAGGCUGCAGCUCCACACCAAGGUCUCCUUUUCUCCCAUCCCUGAAAGGCAGGAGGGAUGCCCACCAAACUGAUGUGUUUUCUGCCAGGUGGGACAUAGUGAGCAGCACCACACAUAGGAAGAGCCCACCUGCCCGUCCCUCCGGCCAUCCCUCCAUCCACUGCCACUCCGUCCGUCUGGCCUGCCCCGAGGACGGGCCACUUCUUGCCUUGGCCAUGCAGAUGAAGACACACACGCAGAAAUUUUAGGAUCAAGCGGAGUUGGAAUUUCCAGCAGAAGAAAGACAAAAAUCCCCCAUCGCCACCUCCCUUCACAUCCUCCAAACUGGGGAGGUUGCUAAGUGACAGCAUUUCUGCUCUCACUAACUCACUGCGAGAACCUGAGCACUUAAAAGCAAGAAAAUGGCUAUUUAAGGACAUGAUAACUCAUGUUCUUUGGUAGCGACCCACAAGCUGUUUCUUCUGAGAGGACUGGGGAUAUUUUCACCCAGAAUUAAAUUUGGAGGGGAUGAGUAACGGCUUCAGUGGGAACUUGGCUUUGUCUACACCUUGUCUGCAGACACAUGCCAUGACAUAGACUGUGCACGGGGACCUGCACGCACAAGUUGGGGGCUUCUAGCCCAAUUUGUGGCCGUGGAGCCCGGUGGACAGAGUCUGAGGAGUCCACGCACCUGUGCCUCAGUUUCCCUGCCCCGUGCAAGGAAGCUCAGGACCUUGCUGUAGGGACAUGUCUGGAUCCCAGGAUCCAGACCCAGGCAUGAUGCUGAAGAGCUGAUCCCAAUUUUACUUGGAACACCCAAGACAAAGGAGCAAGAGGAGCUUGCUGAGACCUUUGCAAGCUCGCCCCUCACUUGGCUUUGCCCAGGCAAGUUUCCAAGCGGGUCAGCCAGAUGCUGUCUCCUGUAUCCCAUGCUGGGGGCUCCAGUGCCCGUCACCAGCAGCAGAAAGUGAAUGCAACCAGCCCGGCCCCUCCGCCUCUCCUUGCUGCAGACCAGCUCCAUUUAUUUCUUUUGUUCCGCUGUUGUUGGCAUUGCUAUUCUGUGAUCCCAUUUAAAAUCAUUGAUUUACCACAGAGUCCUCAAUAAGCAAUUUGGAGCAAUUGAAGCUGUUAUCUUGCUAUAGAUCACAUGGUACUGGGAGUAGGGGGAAAGGGGGAAGGAGAGGAAAACUAAGAAAGAGAAAUGGCUGGAGCUCCCCGCAGCCAGCGUGGAUCCGCUCCGCACUGCAUUACGUGACUCAGCCCUGUGGAGGUCAAGUGGUGGUCUGUGUGUCAUGGUCCAGGAGGCAGAAGAGGGUCUUUCCUCUCUUUAUUAGGAUUUAGACCAGAUUUACCAUUGCAAAGAGCACAAACCUGGACUGGGACCCAAGGGCUUGUAUGGGGGGCAGGCAUGGCAUCCCUGUGGGAUGGGGGGAAUGCAGGGUGGGUCCUGAGGGUCAGAAAUGGGGAAGGAGCUGGGGUUUUCCACCGUUGGUCAGCACCAAGGACAAAUACGGACAUUGGCACACGUGGAAAGCGUAGCCCAGCCCCCAGGCACCAGCAGUAUAAAUUCUUUUUCAACUGGGGUUCAAAGGUUUCUCCUCUCUCUGCUGGGGAGGAAGGUCUGUGGCCUGGGAUGCCACCUCCCCUCCUGGCUGGCUUUGCCUCCCGUGUAUUCUGCCACGCACUUUGGAAAAACACCUUUUUUUGGAAACACUGAGGGUUUUUGGGGGGGGAAAGGAAAAAGAAAUCACAACCUGAUUACAGGGUAAAUUUGCCGUCUCUGCAUCAGUGAGCUGUGAAACAAAACAUUCCCUGACUACAUUAGGCAAAUAACAAUCCGCAGGGCCAGCGAGGAGCAGGAUAAAGCAUCCCAGCACCACAGGCUGGGAUCUGUUGUUUAUAUAUAUCUUGUAUGUAUAUAUCUUAUAGGUUUCCAGUACCUUCAUAACCCCCCAGAAGGGAGCUCAGGUCUUCAGAGUCAGAGGUACUCCAGAGCCAAAAGCACGAGGAGGGCAGGCUUUAAGAUACCUGUAUCUAUUCAACGACAGCCAUUAGCUGGGAAUCAAAUCAUAAAAGCCCAGGGAAGCUGCCCUGGAGAGACCGCUCCCGCGCUAAGGGAUGGAGAGCUCUCUCCUGAUCAUAACCCGCAAUGCAAAGCUUAAAUACAAAAUCAGGUAAUAGAGAGAGACGAUCUGGCAAAUGUGUGCGCUGGCAGUGAUUUGAAACAUAUUGUAAACGUUUUGAGUGCAGGGAGAAAAUAAACCAGUUAUAAAACAGCUACCUGAGAGCCACAAUAAAGGUGGCUUUAAAAACACACUAAUGAAAUGAUUCAGCUGCUUUCAAGAGUGUUUGGGAGCUGCUGUAUGGGGGCAGAGACGUGCAGGAGGGUGCUUGUGAUCCUGGUUGCAUUUAUAGCGUGCAGAGCCUUCAUCUAAGCAAGGCAAUGCCGUCAGCUGUGGUGGGACCAGAAAUUAUGUUUCUUGGUGAAAUGACACUGAAAUGUUGCUCCACUCCGGGAAAGCUCUGGCUUGUCUCUCUCACACCUCCAAUGCUUUCCAAGCCCACAACUUCUGCUUCGCCUAGCUGACAUGGAGAUGACCUACAACGCUUCUCAUGGGGGUUCAAACCUACCCAGGCAAACGCCGCCCGGUCUGUGUGGCUACCCCUGGCAGUGUCCCAUGAGAUCCCAGCCAGCCGAGAGGGCUGGGGGCCAACCAAACCCCAGCAAAGUACCUGAAGGAAAUAGCAAAAAUAAGCUUGCAAGAGAGAAGGAUCCCCAAGGACCCAGAUUUUCGGGGGGGAAGAGGAAGAACUCGACAGAGAUGUUGUUACAUGAUGAGCUGGGGCAAACGGGUUUCCCCAUGCUGCAGGACCCGCUGCCUCUCCAUCCCUCUGAGCCAGAUGGAGAGACCAAAUCCUUGAAAUCUCCCCCAGAUGGGAUCAUUUCCAUGAUGAAGCAUCUCAUUUUGGCUUCAGGGAUGCUCCUCCAUCCUCCCUCUGCCAAGCACCCUGGGGCCACACUCCUGCACCCCCCCAGCUCCCUCCAACUUUCAUGGGAGGCAUUUUGGCAUCUCUAGCUGUUGGGAGAGAUAAGCCAAAGCCAAACCCCCUUGGAGACCCCCACACUAUUUCUUUCUCAGCUGUGCCAACAACAGAUUUAUUUGGGGUUUUUCUUCUUCCUAGUUCUGGAGCAGUUCAGAAAAAAGACGACCAGCUUCCAGAGAUAUCAUCUGUGCUCCUGCUCUGUUCCAGUCAAAUUCAAAAGGACUUGGGUUGAUUUCCAGCUUUUCAAGACAAAAAAAAAAAAUAAAUGCAAUCAAAGGACGUGUCAAGGGGAAGAAACUUCAGAUCAAAAGAUCGAAGCAGCUUAUUGCAAGCCAAGAAAACAUGUCAAAAGGAAAUAUUUCUAUUUUUGAAUGUGUUUUUUCUGUCCUUUUUUCUCCUGGAGUGUCUUGGUGCUUCAGCCAUGAGCGAUCAGGUGAAGCAGGGACAAAUAUGAGGGACUUGGAGCAAACUCUUGGGAUGCAACACGCCCAGUGCUCCCGAAACAGCCAAGGCAAUGC